rnacentral:rRNA from 1 species
UACGUAGGGAGCAAGCGUUGUUCGGAUUUACUGGGCGUAAAGGGCGCGUAGGCGGCGCGGUAAGUCACUUGUGAAAUCUCUGAGCUUAACUCAGAACGGCCAAGUGAUACUGCAGUGCUAGAGUGCAGAAGGGGCAAUCGGAAUUCUUGGUGUAGCGGUGAAAUGCGUAGAUAUCAAGAGGAACACCUGAGGUGAAGACGGGUUGCUGGGCUGACACUGACGCUGAGGCGCGAAAGCUAGGGGAGCAAACGGG